UUAAGUCAGAUAACGAACGAGACCUUCCGUCACCCAUUUGNUNUUCUUCUCUCCCGGAGAGGGAGCACUAUGGUGGUACCCGCCAUUGUUAAAAUGAAGGAAGGAGGGGGCAACGGUAGGUCAGUAUGCCCCGAAUCUCCCCGGGCUACACGCGCGCUACAAAGGGCAGGACAAUGGGCUUCGACACCGAAAGGUGAAGGCAAUCCCGAAACCUGCUCGUAAUUCGGAUUGAGGGCUGCAAUUCGCCCUCAUGAAGCUGGAAUACGUAGUAAUCGCGGGUCAACAUCCCGCGGUGAAUAUGCCCCUGCUCCUUGCACACACCGCCCGUCAAACCACCUUAGUUGGGUCUGGACGAGGGUUUGUCUUCUGACACGCUCGAAUCUGGGUUCAGCGAGGAGGGUUAAGUCGUAACAAGGUA
rnacentral:rRNA from 1 species